CACACACAUAUAUAUGUAGCUUUUUGCAAUAAGAAAAACUCCUGUGCUAUGACUUCCCUUUCAUCCUGGGUGGAAAUCUACAGAAGAAGAUCUCUCUAGGAUACAACAACCUUACAGACUGGUAGCAAGGUCAGCACCAACCAGUUCCAGCACCAACCAGCUCCAGAUUCCUCUUGUCACUAGUCUGCUGGCCUGAGGCCAAGGCUGUGCCAGGCGAUCCUAAGGCUGUGGCUUCUGGAGGCUCUCACAUCCGGGCCACCAAAGACAAUGUUUUACAGGAAUACGGGGUAAAGUCUACGGGGUUCUAGCUGGAGGCCAGCACGAAUACAUGCCUGAGAUCUAAGCCAAGGCAGAGCCACAGUUUCCCUCCUCCCUGUGCCCUCUACGCUCUUCCCUGCCUCCCUCAGCCAGCCCCUCUCCGUCUGGCAGUACUGUUCUCUCAGGCACUGUGUGCUGUGUUUGCCUGGGUUCUUCCCCUGAGUGUCUCAUGUUCCCUCUACCACACAACAUAGCUGGGAGCUGAGAGCCAGGCAUAGCUCACAUACCCCAUGCCUGGCUACACAGCUUGCCCAGACCACAGUGAGCCUUUAGUGACCUCCUCCUCUGUGUUUGGUGACGUGUAGCUUCCGACCUUCUACAGAUAGGCGCUGCUUAACCUCCAUCCUGCUCCUCUCGUGGCUGUGGAAUAUGGCACCAAGCCACUCACUUGCAAACCCAGCCCCUGCUCCUGGACAUUAAGUAGUUGUUAGAAUCUUGGCCUUGUAUGUAAAGGUAUCAAUUAAUUUUCCAAUUCAUCCUGUCUAGGUCAGAUGGAAGGCAUGCCACAAAGGUGUGGCAGUGGCAUACGUGUUCCUCCGAAGCGUCAUCCUGUCUCCUUUCCUCCACGGUACAGCUGUUGACAAUUGGAACUUGCUUUGUGCCUGCCCUGAGUGCUCCUGCCCCAAUAUACUGGGAUUGUGCACCAGGAGACCUCACUAGCUUCUUCUGAUGAUGUUCUCAGUGCCCCCAGUCCUAGCCAUGCAGACGACAGUGACACAGCUCUGCAGCUCCUUUCACAGGGACUCCACAGCCACUGUGUCUUUUUCCUGAUCACUGGCAAGCACUGGAAUGGUACGAAGAACUUCACAUCCCAUUAUGCCCCUACUCAGUCCUCACCAAGACCUGCAGAGGACACGAAGGCUUGGCCAAGCUUGUGCCAAUUGUGCCUCGCUCAAUGAAGAAGCCAGGAUUGGAACUCAAGCCUACCUGAUACCAGAGUCACUUCUUGAAUCUGAGAACCAUUCUCAGAGUGGAGCCACCCUCCCAACCUGGCCCCUGCUUCCUGGAGGUCCUUCUCAAAACAUCUGUGGACUUUUGUCCCAGGCCAUUCUUCUUAGUUGACUUUAAUCUCCUUCAUCUGGAGCCCCACACGAGGAAACAACUCAGUGGACCCCCCAUAACAUUUAGAGGUGAAGGCUGUUUGUUACACAGCUCUACCGUAGCCAUUGCUGACUGAGGCAUACACCCUCCUGGACUGGGCAGUGUUUUCCUGAAUGUCCAUCUCUGCAGUAAUCUAGAGUGAGGUCCUACUAAGUGCUCUGCCCAGAUGAGUUCUUUGGUCCAUCGUUAUGUCAGCCAAACCUGGCACAUAGUGAAGGUAGGGACCAGGAGUGACUUUCCCAUUGCAUGAGCGGCGCCUGAAUAACGUUAACAGUAAUGAGUUUCUAGGUGCUGCAAAGUAGUUGCUUUUUUUUUUUCCUCGUUCAUUUUUCAGUGUAUAAAGCAAUGGCUGCAUUGUGACACUUAGAUGCACAGAUGUCAUCUUACUCGGUUCAUAUUCAUGCUCCUGCAUUACUC